rnacentral:rRNA from 1 species
GAUGAACGCUGGCGGCGUGCCUAAUAAAUGCAAGUCGAGCGAACAGAUGAGGAGCUUGCUCCUCUGACGUUAGCGGCGGACGGGUGAGUAACACGUGGAUAACCUACCUAUAAGACUGGGAUAACUUCGGGAAACCGGAGCUAAUACCGGAUAAUAUAUUGAACCGCAUGGUUCAAUAGUGAAAGACGGUUUUGCUGUCACUUAUAGAUGGAUCCGCGCCGCAUUAGCUAGUUGGUAAGGUAACGGCUUACCAAGGCAACGAUGCGUAGCCGACCUGAGAGGGUGAUCGGCCACACUGGAACUGAGACACGGUCCAGACUCCUACGGGAGGCAGCAGUAGGGAAUCUUCCGCAAUGGGCGAAAGCCUGACGGAGCAACGCCGCGUGAGUGAUGAAGGUCUUCGGAUCGUAAAACUCUGUUAUUAGGGAAGAACAAAUGUGUAAGUAACUAUGCACGUCUUGACGGUACCUAAUCAGAAAGCCACGGCUAACUACGUG